rnacentral:lncRNA from 1 species
CGCCGUGCCACCAUGUCUACGAGCGGGUCUCCCGACUACGAGAGACCAGCUAUGUGCACAUAAGGACGAGAUAAGGAGUUCUAACGUGCAAACUUACAACAAACAGGCAAAAAUGAUUUCGUCUGUGCUGUGAGCUUGAGGGCUACUUGCGGGGAAUUACUUCGCAUUGCUUUAUGGUCAGCACGGUGUGAACGUUUCUUCGAACAAAG